rnacentral:rRNA from 1 species
GACGAACGCUGGCGGCGUGCCUAAUACAUGCAAGUCGAACGCACAGUUUAUACCGUAGCUUGCUACACCAUAAACUGUGAGUUGCGAACGGGUGAGUAACGCGUAGGUAACCUGCCUGGUAGCGGGGAAUAACUAUUGGAAACGAUAGCUAAUACCGCAUAAUAUUAAUUAUUGCAUGAUAAUUGAUUGAAAGAUGCAAUUGCAUCACUACCAGAUGGACCUGCGUUGUAUUAGCUAGUAGGUGAGGUAACGGCUCACCUAGGCGACGAUACAUAGCCGACCUGAGAGGGUGAUCGGCCACACUGGGACUGAGACACGGCCCAGACUCCUACGGGAGGCAGCAGUAGGGAAUCUUCGGCAAUGGACGAAAGUCUGACCGAGCAACGCCGCGUGAGUGAAGAAGGUUUUCGGAUCGUAAAGCUCUGUUGUAAGAGAAGAACGGGUGUGAGAGUGGAAAGUUCACACUGUGACGGUAUCUUACCAGAAAGGGACGGCUAACUACGUG